CCCCCCCUUUCUUUCCCCCCC
rnacentral:misc_RNA from 1 species